rnacentral:sRNA from 1 species
AAAAUGCCAUAAAAAU